UAAUUGAAUGCGAAAAUCCAAAACACUACUUAUCCUUUUCCCACCAUCACAAGAAACAGGGGCAGCAUCAAAAUUAGAAAACCCAUAAGUCAUGCAUCCUCAUAAACACAAAUAUAAAACAUAGUUCCAUGCAUGCAUACCAAAACAAACCAUCCUAAUAAUGUCUCUGAGUCCACCAAGAGAAAGAAGCAACAACAAUAACAAUGGAUUCCAACUAUACUGGUGCUUCCAGUGCAACCGCAUGGUGCGAGCCGCACACGAUAACAACCCAUCCUGUCCACGCUGCUUUGGCCAAUUCAUCCAAGAAAUCAACAUGCCAACCCCAAGACUCUUUCUCGAUUUUACCCCUAACACUAACCACCCUUCUCCACAGCCCCGUCUUCUAGAAGCUCUCUCCCUCAUGCUCGAUCCCGCCUUCCAACAACCCCAUCGCCGCCCCCGCAUCCGCGUCCGCCGCCGCCAACCUUCCGACACAUCCGACCCCCACCCUACAACUCGUCCCCGAACCUGGAUCAUCGUCCAUCCCAUCGGUGCUUCCCCCGAGGAGCUCGAAGCCAUGGUUCCGCCGCCGCGCCGCGACCGUCCGGUGGUGCCGAUCGGGGUGGACUCCAGGGACUACUUCCUUGGUCCGGGACUGAACGAACUGAUCGAACAGAUUACCGAGAAUGAUAGGCCGGGUCCGGCGCCGGCGGCGGAGAGAGCGAUCAGAGGGAUACCGAGGGUGAAGAUAGAAGCACAGCAUCUGAAAGAGAAUUCUCAGUGUCCGGUUUGUCAGGAAGAGUUUGAGGUUGGUGAAGAAGUGAGGGAGCUUCCAUGUAAGCAUGUUUAUCACUCUGAUUGCAUUGUUCCGUGGCUGAGGCUUCAUAAUUCUUGCCCCGUUUGCCGCCAUGAGGUGCCCGAUGGUGAUGAUGAUGAUGAAUGUGUUGCUGAGGGGAGGUUUCAGAGGUGCUUGAGGUGGACGAGGGUUUCUUCUCUUUGGCCAUUUCAUCACCACCGUCGACGUGUUCAUCCUGCUGAUCAAGGACCAGGAGAGAAUAAUAACGCUACUGCUUCUCUCAGGGCACCUAAUCCAAGACGCUCUUGCACCAUUCUUUAACUAAAAGCUCAGGUGCUGAAUUCAGUUGUAAUUUAUUGGCAGCUCUGUCAUCGCAGUUUAGGCAACUUGUCAUGCUGUAAUUCAGUUGAGCAUCUUGAACUUGCACUUCAGACGAGUUAAAAUUGUCUUCGAGUUUUCACUUUUCAAUCAUGUUAAAACUGGAGUUCAUCUUCACAAUAUAUGCAUAGUUGUAGAACAGUGUAAGCCGUCGUGAAAAAGGGCACUUCUCCCUCCUUCCAUGGAUGUGGGAUUUGUUUGUUAUUCUUUUAGCAUAUAAAAUGUAUAUAGUUUAAUACAGUUAAUUAAUGAAUGGCUAGUGUACAUGUUACUGCAAUAUACGAUGCCAUGUCGUAUCACAAUGUUUCUUUGGUUAUCGCGUUAUAUCUAUAUGCUGUAAUUAUUAUGUUAUUAACAAUGACAGUCGUUAAAAGGAACAUAAUUA